GACGAAUGCUGGCGGCGUGCCUAAUACAUGCAAGUCGAACGCAGUGGGGACGGGUGAGUAACACGUGGGUAACCUCCCAUCAGAGGGGAUAACACUUGGAAACAGGUGCUAAACCGAUACUGAUGGAUGAACCCGCGGUGCAUUAGCUAGUUGGUGGGUUAAUGGCUCACCAAGGCCACGAUGCAUAGACGACCUGAUAGGGUGAUCGUCCACACUGAGACUGAGACACGGCCCAGCUUCCUACGGGAGGCAGCCUUAGGGAAUCUUCGGCAAUUGACGAAAGUCUGACCGAGCGACGCCGCGUGAGUGAAGAAGUUUUUCGGAUCGUAAAGCUCUGUUGUUAGAGAAGCGUUAUCUAACCAGAAAGCCACGGCUAACUACGGGCCAGCAGCCGCGGUAAUAC
rnacentral:rRNA from 1 species